rnacentral:rRNA from 1 species
UACGUAGGGGGCGAGCGUUGUCCGGAAUUAUUGGGCGUAAAGGGCGCGUAGGCGGUUUGUCGCGUCGGGUGUGAAAACCUUGGGCUUAACUCAGGGCUUGCUUUCGAUACGGGCAGACUAGAGGUAUGCAGGGGAGAACGGAAUUCCUGGUGUAGCGGUGAAAUGCGCAGAUAUCAGGAGGAACACCGGUGGCGAAGGCGGUUCUCUGGGCAUGAUCUGACGCUGAGACGCGAAAGCGUGGGGAGCAAACAGG